rnacentral:rRNA from 1 species
CCUACGGGUGGCUGCAGUGGGGAAUAUUGGACAAUGGGGGCAACCCUGAUCCAGCCAUGCCGCGUGUGUGAAGAAGGCCCUCGGGUUGUAAAGCACUUUCAGUGAGGAAGAACGCCUGGUGGUUAAUACCCAUCAGGAAAGACAUCACUCACAGAAGAAGCACCGGCUAACUCCGUGCCGGCAGCCGCGGUAAUACGGAGGGUGCGAGCGUUAAUCGGAAUUACUGGGCGUAAAGCGCGCGUAGGUGGCUUGAUAAGCCGGUUGUGAAAGCCCCGGGCUCAACCUGGGAACGGCAUCCGGAACUGUCAAGCUAGAGUGCAGGAGAGGAAGGUAGAAUUCCCGGUGUAGCGGUGAAAUGCGUAGAGAUCGGGAGGAAUACCAGUGGCGAAGGCGGCCUUCUGGACUGACACUGACACUGAGGUGCGAAAGCGUGGGUAGCAAACAGGAUUAGAUACCCUUGUAGUC